CCGUCCACCCCCGGUCGGUAUUCGGGGUGCCGUCCGCCCCCGCUGCAUGCCGUGACUCGCCGGCGAGCCCCCGUGUCCCGGAGCUGCUGGACGGUCCUGACUCCGGCGACCUCGAUUCCGGCGAGGAGGACGGUGGCGGACGAGAGGCAGCAGGAGCGCACCUCGACCAGGGGGCAUAUGCAAAGUACAGGGUCCUCGACCACUGGCCACUGCACGGCCGUCUCUGCCCUUCCUCGUCGCCUGCCAAAUCCCGGAUGCUCAUUCUACUUUGCAAUGCAAGGUGUUGAUCUCACCUUCAUGCAGUGUAUGGGCAGUGGAGUUUUUUGUGGACGGCAUCAAAUCCUUUUCAAGAUCAGUCAGCUACAGUUAAGAGCAGGGUUCUGAUCUGCACCCUUUGGUGCAUAUAGAAAUGUCGCAAUGCCAAGGUUUUCAGAAGUGAGGAUGCUACAAAGCUGAGGACAAGGAUUGGUUAUUAGAGUGGAGCAAUUUUUUCCCAUGUACCUUUUUUUUUGCUUUAAGGUCCUUUUGCCUUCUGCUCUUGCUUCUUAUUUCCCUCAUGUACUCUCUCUUAUCAGGUUUUUCCUGAUUUUUAAGUGUUUGUAAAUUAUUAUUUUUUUACAAUAAAAGCUCAGGCAACCUUCAAUGGCUGCCGUUGUUUCUCUCAAAAA